AAAUAACAAGCCCUGACCUGUUAUUCCCUUAGCAUGGCUGCCUGGGCAUCCCGGUGGCACCUCACAAUGUCAAAACAGAAUUCCUCAUUUCCUCAAGACACACUCCUGCUUUAUUUUAUCUGGUGGCACCACAAUUCGCCCACUCACCCAAGCCAGAAGCCUGGGAGCCAUCAGUUCCCACCUCUCCGGAAUUCCUUUUGUUACACAAUUCUCCCAGUGUGACUUUCCAAAUAUCACUCAAGUCUGUUUGCUCCUCCCCAUCCGCACCUCCUCUUAGUUUUGGUCUAUACUGCCUCUCAUCUAAACAUGUCCUAGUCUCCUCCCUCUGAUUCCUGCCUCUGACCUCAGUUGACUCAGCUGCUGUAGAAGGCCUUACCUGACCACCCUCCUGAACUUUCGCCUAUCAAGCGCCCUGCUUUAUUUGAUUCAGAGUACUUUUACUAUCUAAAAUUAUCUGGCUUACGCCUUUGUUUACUGGUCUGGAUCUCUCCUCCAUGAUAAUGGAAGCUCCUCGAGGUUGGGAACCUUCUCUGGCUCGUUCAUUGUUCCAUUCCCAUCAUCUAGAUUAAUGCCCAGUACAUAGGAGGUGCUCAAGAAAUAUUUGCAAGCCAGGCACAGUGCUUCAGCCUGUAAUCUCAGCACGUUGGGAGGCCGAGGCAGACAGAUCACUUGAGGUCAGGAGUUUGAGACCAGCCUAGGCAACAUGGUGAAACCCUAUCUCUACUAAAAAUACAAAAAUUAGUCGGGCAUGGUGAUGUGUGCCUGUAGUCCCAGCUACUCAGAAGGCUGAGGCACAAGAAUCACUUGAACCCAGGAGGCAGAGGUUGCAGUGAGCAGAGAUCAUGCCACUGCACUCCAGCGUGGGUGAUAGAGCAAGACUCUGCCUCAAAAAAAAAAAAAAAAGAAAAAGAAAGAAAUAUUUGUUCAGUGAUUGAAUGCUCUAGAUCAUUAUUGCUCAACAGAAAUAUACUGUGAGCCCAAAUGUGAGCCGCAUGUAUUAUUUUAUUUUUAUUUAUUAAUUUUUUUUCAAGACCUAAUCUCACUCUGCUGCCCAGGCUAGAGCGCAGUGGUGCGAUCUCGGCUCACUGCAGCCUCCGCCUCCCUGGUUCAAGCAAUUCUCGUGCAUCAGCCUCCCAAGUAACUGGGAUUACAGGUGUGCGCCACCACACCCAGCUAAUUUUUUGUAUUUUUAGUGAGAUGGGGUUUCUCUAUGUUGCCCAGGCUGGUCUUGAAUUCCUGACCUCAAGUGAUCUGCCCAACUCGGCCUCCCAAAGUGCUGGGAUUACAGGCGUGAGCCACCGCGCCCAGCCACAUGUAUAAUUUUAAAUAUUCUUGUAGCCACAUCAAAAAGUUUUAAAGAAACAGUAAAAUUAAUUUAUAAUAUAUUUUAUUUAGCCCAGUAUAUCCAAAAGAUUAUCAUUUCAACAAGUUAUCAACAUGAAAUAUAUUAAUGAGAUAGUUUAUAAUCUUUUUCAUUCUGAGUCUUCAAAAUCCCAUGUGUAUUUGACAUAGCACAUCUCAACUCAGACUAGUCUUAUUUCAAGUGCCCAACAGCCACAUGUGGCUAGUGGCUUCUGUACUGGACAUGGCAGCUCUAGACUUACCCCUCCUGUCAUACUGACCUGGCUUCAGUUGUGCUCGCUACUAUUGUAAAAAUAGAUAUGAUAAUUACAUCACUAAUCAAUUCAUUUUAUCAACAAACAUCCUCAGACAGUCUGCUGUGUUUCCGUCAUUAUUCUAAGAAGUGAGCAUACAAAGAUGAAUUACAAAUUGCCCAAGAGGACCACAGACUAGUAUGAGAAAGACAUGUAAACAAUUACCAUAUAAUGCAAUAAAAAAUAUAUAAGCCAAUUGCUAUAGGAAACAGCAAAUUUGGUCUGAAGGAUCCAAGAAAAGCCUCAGAAGGAAGUGAGGCUUUAGACUAGCCUUGAAGAACAAGUAGAAGCUGGCCAAACAGACACAGAAGAGGUUGGGCUUUCCAGGCAACAGAGCCAAAACAUGUUAAAGGCAGAAAGAAAUGUGUGGGAGAGCUUGCCACUUUAUGAAGUGCAAGUAAUUUGCGCUGGUUGGAAAUACUGGGAUGUCGUGUGUGAGUGGGGCUGGCAGGAGGUGAAGAUGGAGAGGGAUCAGGGGCUCAAUAUCAGAAAAGAUUAUGAAUCUUAAAUUAUUUGUAUAUGAGGCUGGGCAUGGUGGCCAGUACUUUGGGAGGCUGAGGGGGGAGGAUCACUUGAGGCCAGGAGUUGGAGACUAGCCUGGGCAACAUAAUGAGACCCCAUCUUUACCCCCCCGCCAAAAAAUUAGCCAGGUGUGGUGGCACACAUCUAUAGUCCCAGCUACUCUGGAGGCUGAGGUGGGAGGAUUACUUGAGCCCAGGAGGUCGAGGCUGCAGUGAACCAUGAUUGUGCUACUGCAUUCCAGCUUGGGCAACAGAAUGAGACCUCAUCUCUGAAAAAUAAAAAAUAAACCGUAUAAGUGGGAGGAGGGAUGGACUUGAUCAGAGUAGCAUCUUUAAAGCUCUGUCUGGUAGCUGGCAUGGACCAUGGUUUACAAGGAAGAGGGAUAGGAGGCAGAAAGAACAAUUAGGAGGCUCCUACAAUUGUCCUGGCAAGAGAGGAUGGGCCCUGAACCAAGGCAAUGGCAGUGAGAGGGAAGAGGAGAAGAGGAGGACACAGGUGUGAAAGAUCUAGAUAGGAAUUGGAGACGGCUGGGAGGAGGGCACUAGAGGUGAUUUUGGUUGUGGACAUGUGGGUUUUUCAGUACCCAGGGGCUCCCAGGAAGAGCUGUCAACUGUUUGGAUACUCAUCUGUGGCACCAAGAGAGGCACAAGCUACAGAGAGUUUGGGGGUCAUUAGCAAGAGGUGGGGCUUAAAACAAAGGAAAUGAAUCAAUGUCCCAGGAAAAGGAGAGAGCCAAAGAGAAUGGUGAACAGAAGCCACUUCAGAGGGGUCGGUGAGCCUUGCCACCAGCAGAACAGCCAUGGGCAUCUGAACUCAAUAACAGAAACAUCCAACAGCCCAACACUGAGAGCUGCUCCCUUACAGCCCACAAGGGACCCAAGUGACAUGGCAGUGUUUGAGGUAUUGUGAUGUGCGUAUUGGAGACUACAUGAUUUUUGUUGACAAGUUUCUCUUAACGCUGAAAAUAUGAGUGGUCGGAAGGCUUGCAGUUGGGAAGAAGUUUUCAGUUUUACAGGAAACUUCCCUGGGUUUUGGGCUGUCUGAAGAACAUAGAGCCAUUUAUGGAUGAAGAAACUGGGGCUGAAAGAAGUUAGAUGACUUGCCAAAUUCAAGUGUCUAAGAAGACACAGGGCAAACUUGAAUUCACAUCUUCUGACUUAAAGUAGCUAGACUCAUGAUAUCACAGCUGACCCCCAGCAAAGCUCCAUGCCCAGCACCUUAGACAAUGGUGUUUGGACACGCUUUGAUUUGAUCAUUUGACUCAUUGCCCAGGAGAUUAAGGUCUGAAGUUCUGCUCAGUGUAGGUCAAUUUCAAAAUCAUUGUUUGAAAAAGGGUUGUAUAUGGCUUUUUAAAAAGGCAUUCAGGCUGGGUGUGGUGGCUCACGCCUGUAACCCCAGCACUUUGGAAGGCCCAGGUGGGCAGAUCAGUUGAGGUCAGGAGUUCGAGACCAGCCUGGCCAACAUGGUGAAAUCCUAUCUCUACUAAAAAUACAAAUAUUAGCUGGGCAUGGUGGCACACACCCUGUAAUCCCAGCUACUUGGGAGGCUGAGGCAUGAAAAUUGCUUGAACCCUGGAAGCCGAGGUUGCAGUGAGCCAAGAUCAUACCCACUGCACACCAAACUGGGCAACAGAGCAAGAAAGACUCCAUCUCAAAAGAAAAAAAAAAGUCAUUCAAACAAUAAAGAUGUUUUUUGAUUUUUGUUUUCUGCUUUUUAAGGAGCAUCAAUCUUGCAAGCCAUGAAGGCUAAUAUUGCAGCUGUGACGAAGCAUCGAAUUUGACUCCAAGCUUCCUGGAAGCAAAAAUAGAAACAUAGAGGCUGUACAAUGCCAAUUACCUGAGAAACACACAGUGUUUUGUAAUGCAGAUUCAAAAUCACUGACUUAACUGACUAAUCAGGAAUUAAAUGCAAAGCCCCCACCUUACCAUGCCUGUUUCUGCCACAGAGGGGAAGUGAAAGCAGAACUUUGAGGAGCUUGGUCACAUUGGAAGCAGGAACAAUGGAAGAGUGGGGCUGGGCAGAUUAAUGAUCUUCAGGAAAAGUUAAGUGGAAGUCAGCUUUCAUGCUUUAGCCCCCAGCUCCUGAACAUUCAUUCUCUUCCCUUCAUCACAUGCUUCCAUUCUCCUUUUUCAAAAAAUCUUUUUGAUAAAAGUUGUAUUUGUGUACUCAUGAAAGGCUACCCACUCUAGAUGAAUGUGCAAGAGGCAAUUAAACAGAUUGAUCUAUGGGGUGUAUAGGGACAGAACAAAUGAUCUGAGAGAGACCAGGGCAAGGGUGAUGUGCUUAGUGUGUAGGUCACUAGAAUCCUCUCUGAAGAAGAAACCAGGGAGGGCCCAGCCCACCUGAAAAAAAACUCUGGAAGAAUCCCUCGGUGCAUGUAUCUCCCUAAGUCUUUCCAGCAACCCCGAGUGCUGUGACUAGGGCUGCAAUUAUUAACGUGGGUUUGAAGGGGGGUGGGGGUAAAGGUGGCUGUGCGUCCAACCCCUAAACAUGGUGCCAGGCAUACAGCAGAUGCACAAUUAAUGUUAACUGAGGAGGGGAAAGGAGAGAUGAAGAAAGAAAACGGGGGAAAGGAUGGAAGGAAAUCGAGAGGGAAGGAAGGAGUUCUAAAGAAAAAGUGAUAUGAAAAUAAAAUGACAGGAGAGGUAAAGUUAGCAUGUCAAAUGUUUUUCAAAGGUCUUGUGCAGUUGCCAGAGGAGGUCUGCAAUUUUGUCCUGGGUUUCCUAGCAACCAAAGCAAGGAGGGAAACAUAAUCAGUUGUAACAUUCACAGUGUCCAUAAGAUAAAAACAGAUCUGUUGCUCAGAAAAACUCUUCCCUGGCUCUUCUUAAAGGGAACACCAUGUCAUAUAGUUUAUCCUCAGCAACAUUUCUGCAAUAAAUAUAGAAUCAAACUCUGAACAAUUGUCUCCCAGAACAUCCUCAAGGCAGGUGAUUGGCAUAUUGUCAAGUGCCACUCAGGACACUCAAGUGGUCAAAACAAUUACAUACAGAAAAGCAACUUUCUGAAGUUCUGGCUUGUUUUCAGUGAUACAUUUUACAAUAUCUGGGAAAAGGGAUGAAAAUGCCUUCCUGGCACCCACACCAUCAUUUCUAGUCCAAGCCCAGGACAAACGUCACCAAAUGAUCACUGAACUUUUUCCCGUUGAGACUGGACGUUGCCUCAUAAUCCUUUCCAACCGUACUCAUUAAUAGGGUUCUUCUCCCAUGCCAACUUGAAUCUAUCUGCCAGCUCUGAUCAAAGGGAAUUGGUGAAUAUCCUUCAAGCAAUGCUCUAUGAAUAUUAUUUCAUAUAAUAAAGCUUGAAUACAAAUGAGGCAAGAGGAAGUGUGCAGUUACAGUGGCUGGCAAGAAAGAAGAAAUAUUAUGUAUUGAUAAGUAAGGAUAAAAUGUAAUGGUUUGAUAAGCAAAGAAAUGGAUAAUUUGACAUUCUGUAUGGAAAAGGUGAAUUAGAGUAAGAACUAAAUCAAAACCCAGUGUUGUUGUAGUAUCUAGACUGUUCCUGGGUAUGUAUCUCUCAUACAUACACAUACAUGCACACACACAUUUUUUUUUUUCUUUUAGAGACAGGGUCUUGCUAUGUUUACCAGGCUGACCUUGAUCUCUUGGGCUCAAGCAAUGCUCCUAUCUCAGCCUCCUGAGUAUCUGGGACUACAAGUGUGCACCACCAAUCUCAGCUCUGUUUUAUUUUUUAAAGAAGAAAAAACACAGUACUUGAAAACAGGAAAGGGUUCUACUAGUGAACCAGAAAAUGUGAAGGAUACAUAGAAUAUUGUGCUGUUACUUUGGGUGCCCCUAAUAAACAGCAUCUCUCCUACCACUUGACUGUGAACUUGGCUAUGUAGUUUGUUUUGGCCAGUGAGACAUUAGGAAAUGUAAGCAGAGGCUUAUAAAACUGCUUGUACAUUAGGGUUUAAUCCUCUUAGAAUGCACCUUCUUGGAACCUAAGCCACCAUGCUGUCAGGAAGCUCAACCAGCCAUGUAGAAAGGCUAACAUGGAGAAGAACUAAGGUCCCUGGCUGACAACCUGAAUUGAGAUCCCAGCCAGUAGGUAUCACUAAAAAUUAGCCAUGGGAGGAUGUCAUGAACCUUUCAACACCAAAUAAAGCAAAACAACUGCAUAAUCAACCCACAUGAGAAAUGAUACUUUUUUAAAUGUUUUAAGCCACUAAAUUUUGGGGUGGUUAUGCAGCAGUAGAUAACUGAAAAAUACAAAACAGCAAUGGAGAAAGAAUAGAGGAUUAAGACUGAAGCACCAGAAUUCUUCCUAGGGGAGAUAGGUCCAAGCUCAGAAUCAACAAAUGCAAAGAGUAGACGGAGACUUUGGAUGAUCAUUCAGGAACAGCACUGAGAAUAGCUCAGAUAGUCAGCUCUUACCCUCUUCUGUGCAUGAACAUGUAGUAACUAGAAGCAAUGGCUUUCACACUCAAGAUUAAUCAGGAAAACUGCUUUUUAAAGAAAGUGGGCAAACUUCCUAAGGAGUGUUUUUUGUUGUUUUAGAGACAGGGUCUUGCUCUGUCACCCAGGCUGGAGUACAG
rnacentral:lncRNA from 1 species